AAUUUACAUUCCAAUCUAGAGCAAUUAAACGGGAAGCUACAGGCUGGGUGGUUUAAGCAGUGUUCUUUAAUGCUUGCUCUUAUGCUGAAGUGAAGGAACACCAUUAUUUGAAAAGAGACUGAUGUUACUUACCUUACAGGAUGAGUUUAUGAAGGUUCCUUUGUCCAAACUGAUCCAACUGUAUGUGUGUGUGUUUCUCAUGUGCACAAGGCUGGAUCCUUUAACCACAAAUGUCCAGUGGGACUGCAUCUGUGCCCUGCACCUCCUUGUAUCCCCUACAGCAAGAGUAUAAAGCACCGAGCAACCCUAAUCACCACUCAGUUCCUUCACUAGUACAGAAAAUCCAGAGAAGGACUCCAUAUAGGCGGGGAAGGAAGGCUGGUCUGGGAGCCAAGUGGACAAAGGCAUUUCACAGACCUCCAGUUACUAUGAGUCUUAAAGGAACAUCUCAUUUUCCUUAUAUGGGGAAAAGGCUAAGAGAAACAGAUUACAAUCCGGCUAUUAAAACCUACCAAUGCUAAUUUGGAUCAAGAUUGUUUUCAGCUGAGUUACUUAACAGAGCAACAAGACAGCCAUGAGAGAGCGAAAUCGAGUCCUAUAAAACACUUACUGAUGGAUUGAGGGAGAUGUGGAAAUUGCCACUUCCGGGACAUUCAUAUUAUCAGGGAGUAAUUGUUUGUAAGUGUCCUGGUCUUUUGGUGAAUAAUUCGAGCGUGCGGUUGUAAAUGGUGAGUUCAAGGUUACUGUGUGAAGCAAUUUAUCUCUGCAAAACAAUAAGACGAUGUGUAAAGGAAAGCAGUAAAUAUGGUUAGAUCUGCAAGACUGUUUCUGUGCAGGAUGGAUGGCUCCAGAAAAAAAACGUUAUUUCUCGGUAUACAGAGGCAUUUCACUGGACCCUUGAAAAAAAUGACUUUUUAAAAAACGAUUUUAGCAAACUAUUAAGUAAGCAUUGCAUCUGAUUAGAAGGCUCGGGGCUGAUGAUAAUUAGA